rnacentral:lncRNA from 1 species
AAACGCAUGAGCCGAAAUGCAAGGUCCACACACCCAUUCACCCCCCUCAAGUGUUUCUUAUUGGACUUUUGGUUUUUUAAUUUGCUUAAUGAAAAUUUUUAAAGAAGUUAAAACAAUUCAAAAAGUUAUGUGUAAUUUAAAGGAAUAUCAUAAUUUAAAAUUUUUGGUAUCGGUAAUAGAUCGUGAAGAGAAAAAAAGAAUAAUAUUAUGUUCAAUCUUAUUUAUUUUUUAUGGUUUUUCUAAAAAAAUUUAUGCUUUUCUUUUAUUU